AUACGGAGGGGGCUAGCGUUGUUCGGAAUUACUGGGCGUAAAGCGUACGUAGGCGGACUGAUCAGUUGGGGGUGAAAUCCCAGGGCUUAACCCUGGAACUGCCUUCAAUACUGUCAGUCUUGAGAUUGGAAGAGGUGAGUGGAAUUCCUAGUGUAGAGGUGAAAUUCAUAGAUAUUAGGAGGAACACCAGUGGCGAAGGCGGCUCACUGGUCCAAUACUGACGCUGAGGCACGAAAGCGUGGGGAGCAAACGGGAUUAGAUACCCUAGUAGUCC
rnacentral:rRNA from 1 species